rnacentral:rRNA from 1 species
UACGGAGGGGCUAGCGUUGUUCGGAAUUACUGGGCGUAAGCGCACGUAGGCGGCUUUGCAAGUCAGAGGUGAAAGCCCGGGCUCAACCCCGGAAUUGCCUUUAAGACUGCAUCGCUAGAAUUGUGGAGAGGUAAGUGGAAUUCCGAGUGUAGAGGUGAAAUUCGUAGAUAUCAAGCGGAACACCGGUGGCGAAGGCGGCCUUCUGGACAGUGACUGACGCUGAGACGGCGAAAGCGUG